CCUACGGGUGGCAGCAGUGAGGAAUAUUGGUCAAUGGACGAGAGUCUGAACCAGCCAAGUAGCGUGAAGGAUGACUGCCCUAUGGGUUGUAAACUUCUUUUAUAUGGGAAUAAAAUGUUCCACGUGUGGGAUUUUGUAUGUACCAUAUGAAUAAGGAUCGGCUAACUCCGUGCCAGCAGCCGCGGUAAUACGGAGGAUCCGAGCGUUAUCCGGAUUUAUUGGGUUUAAAGGGAGCGUAGGUGGAUUGUUAAGUCAGUUGUGAAAGUUUGCGGCUCAACCGUAAAAUUGCAGUUGAAACUGGCAGUCUUGAGUACAGUAGAGGUGGGCGGAAUGCGGGGUGUAGCGGUGAAAUGCUUAGAUAUCACGAAGAACUCCGAUUGCGAAGGCAGUUCACUGGACUGCAACUGACACUGAGGCUCGAAAGUGUGGGUAUCAAACAGGAUUAGAUACCGUGUAGUC
rnacentral:rRNA from 1 species